rnacentral:rRNA from 1 species
AGGACGAACGCUGGCGGCGUGCUUAACACAUGCAAGUCGAGCGAGGCCCCGCCUUCGGGUGGGUGUUCUAGCGGCGAACGGGUGAGUAACACGUGGGCAACCUGCCCUCAGCUCUGGGAUAACUCCAAGAAAUUGGGGCUAAUACCGGAUAUGACUGCUGACCGCAUGGUCUGGUGGUGGAAAGAUUUAUCGGCUGGGGGAUGGGCCCGCGGCCUAUCAGCUUGUUGGUGGGGUAGUGGCCUACCAAGGCGACGACGGGUA